rnacentral:lncRNA from 1 species
AAAAUACUAAAUCAAUUAAAAAAUUCUUGAAACUCCUACAUGACAACUUAGAUGUUGUAUAUUACAUGUAAAAAUGUAAUUAGGGGUAUAUAAAAUAAUUAUUUUGCAAGUUACUUCACAAGGGUGUAUUUAUUAGUUAGUUAAAAAAUAGAAAAAUAAUAUUUUUGCACAACAAGGGUGAUUUUGAGCAGUUAAUUCGAUCCAGAGUUCUGCUAGUACCUGGCAUGACAUUGCUU